AUGUCUUUAUGCUUAUUGGAAAGUUUUUGCGAUGAGGCGUUUUACCAAAUGACUUGUCAGUAUUAAUAUCUGAUACGUCCCAGACUAAGGGAUUGAAUAUUAAUCUAAUUUUUGUUGGAAGGAGUUGGUUUGGAAGCUUGCUCCACUAACAUCUCUCAUCGUUCUACUAUUGCAGUGUUUCUGGGAAUGGUGCAUCCCCU